rnacentral:tRNA from 1 species
GGGCGACUAGCUCAGUGGAUAGAGCGUUGGUCUCCGGAACCAAAGGUCCUGGGUUCGAUUCCCAGGUCGCCCUCCA